rnacentral:rRNA from 1 species
UACAGAGGUCUCAAGCGUUGUUCGGAUUCAUUGGGCGUAAAGGGUGUGUAGGGUGGCGCGCUAAGUCGGGGUGUGAAAUUUCGGAGCUUAACUCCGAAACUGCAUUCGAUACUGGCGUGCUUGAGGACUGGAGAGGAGACUGGAAUUCAUGGUGUAGCAGUGAAAUGCGUAGAGAUCAUGAGGAAGACCAGUGGCGAAGGCGGGUCUCUGGACAGUUCCUGACACUGAGACACGAAGGCCAGGGGAGCAAACGGG